UAUAGACUGUGUAAAGGAGUACUGUAUUGUAUGGUAACUACCGACGGUAGGUAUGGACAAAUACUGUAUAUAUAGACUGUGUAAAGGAGUACUGUAUUGUAUGGUAACUACCGACGGUAGGUAUGGACAAAUACUGUAUAUAUAGACUGUGUAAAGGAGUACUGUAUUGUAUGGUAACCACCGACUGUAGGUAUGGACAAAUACUGUAUAUAUAGACUGUGUAAAGGAGUACUGUAUUGUAUGGUAACCACCGACGGUAAGUAUGGACAAAUACUGUAUAUAGACUGUGUAAAGGAGUACUGUAUUGUAUGGUAACCACCGACGGUAGUUAUGGACAAAUACUGUAUAUAGACUGUGUAUAGGAGUACUGUAUUGUAUGGUAACCACCGACAGUAGGUAUAGACAAAUACUGUAUAUAGACUCUGUAUAGGAGUACUGUAUUGUAUGUUAACCACGGUAGGUAUGAACAAAUACUGUAUAUAGACUUUGUAUAGGAGUACUAUAUUGUAUGGUAACCACCGACGGUAGGUUUAGACACAUACUGUAUAUAGACUUUGUAUAGGAGUACUGUAUUGUAUGGUAACCACCGACGGUAGGUAUGGACAAAUACUGUAUAUAGACUUUGUGUAGGAGUACUGUAUUGUAUGGUAACCAUUGACGGUAGGUAUAGACAAAUACUGUAUAUAGACUGUGUAUAGGAGUACUGUAUUGUAUGGUAACCACCGACUGUAGGUAUGGACAAAUACUGUUGAUAGACUGUGUAUAGGAGUACUGUAGUGUAUGGUAACCACCGACGGUAGGUAUAGACAAAUACUGUUGAUAGACUGUGUAUAGGAGUACUGUAUUGUAUGGUAACCACCGACUGUAGGUAUGAACAAAUACUGUAUAUAGACUGUGUAUAGGAGUACUGUAUUGUAUGGUAACUACCGACGGUAGGUAUAGACAAAUACUGUAUAUAGACUGUGUAUAGGAGUACUGUAUUGUAUGGUAACCACCGACGGUAGGUAUGAACAAAUACUGUAUAUAGACUGUGUAUAGGAGUACUGUAUUGUAUGGUAACCAACGACGGUAGGUAUGGACAAAUACUGUAUUUAGACUGUGUAUAGGAGUACUGUAUUGUAUGGUAACCACCGACUGUAGGUAUGAACACAUACUGUAUAUAGACUUUGUGUAGGAGUACUGUAUUGCAUGGUAACCACCGACGGUAGGUAUAGACAAAUACUGUUGAUAGACUGUGUAUAGGAGUACUGUAUUGUAUGUUAACCACGGGAGGUAUGGACAAAUACUGUAUAUAUAAUGUGUAUAGGAGUACUGUAUUGUAUGUUAACCACCGACGGUAGGUAUGGACAAAAACUGUAUAUAGACUUUGUAAAGGAGUCUUGUAUUUUAUGGGAACCACCGACGGUAGGUAUAGACAAAUACUGUAUUUAGACUUUGUAUAGGUGUACUGUAUUGUAUGGUAACCACCGACGGUAGGUAUAGACAAAUACUGUGUAUAGAAUUUAUUUAUUUAAAUGAAAAGUGUUGCACAUAAAUUGUAUUUCUGCAUUGAAAUUUUAUGUAAUCUUUUCCCUUCAAAUGGUGGAAUGGUCCUAUUUGUCCUUAAAUGGCAAAUAAAACUUACUGUUCUUUGCUUUUAUGUUUGAUAUAUUUUUGAAUAUUCUUCACGUGGAGAUCUGAUCUUGUCUAUUAAAUUUUGUCAUUUUACUUAUUACAUGUAUGUUAAUUGCAGCAACUGAAUUGGACUUAUUUAUUAAAAGUGAUAAUAUUUCUG